AAAAAAACCCCACACAAACGAAAACAAUGGAUUCCAGCAAUAUGUGACAAGAAAUAUAGUAGAACUAAUAUAAACAAGUUACCAGAGAUUUUAAAAACACAAGUUUUUAUAAGUGAUGAGUUACUUCGUAGACAAGUCACACGAAGUUCUAGUGAACAAUGUCCAGCAGAAAAUACAUCUAUGUCGCCAAAAGGGCGUAGGUUUGAAGACCGGAGUAAAGAGAAAUCACAGUUGCGUUAUAAAACUAAAGACGCAGGUGCUGCUACCAAGCCAAGGAAGACGUCUUUUGUAGACAAGCCCACUUCAUCGAAGGAAGGAACUCAACUUCCUACUAAUCUACCACGGAGGGAUUCAAAUACAUCAAACACAAAAAACAGAAAAUCG